rnacentral:rRNA from 1 species
AACGCGAGAAUAUUGGCACAAUGGGCGAAAGCCUGAUGCAGCAACGCCGCGUGCGCGAUGAAGACCUUCGGGUUGUAAAGCGCUUUUCUGAAGGACGAGGAAGGACGGUACUUCAGGAAUAAGGAUCGGCUAACUACGUGCCAGCAGCCGCGGUA